UACAGACUGAAGACCAUCUGAUGCCUAUGAAACAUAAAAAUCCAUACCUCAAAGGAAUCACAUGGGGUAAAGUCUGGCCGGCCUAUCAAUCGAUGAGCACUCUGACGGCGCUUUGAUGAACUACCAGAAGAACUUUGUGUUUGCAGACGGCCAUCAUGUUGGAUGUUGAUGAAGCAGGGAUUCCAUUACUGACAAAGUUAACACAUCUAAUCUGUAGACAAAGCCUUGGAAGAACGCAUGUAUUGAACUUCGAUUCAGAACUUUACAAAAACAAAGAAACUUGUGAAACAAAUCUUCUUUGUGUAAAGUUAGCCAGUGUUGUCUUCUCCUGUCACCACGCUGUCCUCAUCAACAGCUAUAGACAGUGUGUCAAAAAUAUCUUCAUAUCAAUAUGAACAUCCCUGACAACAUGAUGUAGUAAUAGGUAACACAAUACAGGAAAACACUAUAUGGAAAUCUAAAACAAGGCAUUGUUAGGGGUGAGAUCUCCAGCCAGGAAUAGUAGACAAAAUGUCAUAUAGCUCCAAUACCGGUCAUUGUCUGUACUGCAAGUAAUGAUGACAGCGACACCUAGUGACCAGAUGGAAAUGGGACCUGCUAAACAAGACAUGAAAUCAAGAAAUAAAAUAGUUUGGGUAGUAAGCAAGUGUUAUUUCAUCCUGAGAAAUAAAAAUGCAUUGAUUUGAUGCUGCCAUGAUUGAGGUAAUGCUACCGCAGUGAUCAGUAUAACAGUCAGUGCUAUCGCGUGUUUCAGAUGAAUAGGUCAUCAUUCCAAGGAUAUCUAUCUGAUGACUUUAUAUACAGCCUUCUAAGUUUACUUGCAGUUAAAGACAAGAAAACAUGACAGACAAGUCUUCCAAAAUGAACAUGAGCACAUUAUCCCUUAGGCAUAGGUUUCUGAACUUUAAAGUAUGUGUCCUAUUACAAAAGAAAGUUUGAACAUUGUUGUCUUUGACCCUGUCAUUUAAACUCCAGCAAGUGGCAAUAAUAAACUGAUCCUAAGCACAGAAACCUUUGAUUGCUUUCCUAACGUAUGAGAUAUACACACAUACAUCCAAAUCAUACCUGAUGGAGUACUAACUUUUAAAAGCUUUAAACAAUGGAAAACUGACAUGCCAAGAGAACUCAAACACUUUCACAGCACAAAAAGACAGAUAAAUGGUUUGUUACAUGUUAUAUAUAGAAAAAAUCGAUUUCUCUUUAAGAAAUUCACAAGGGAAAUUUUAUCAAAUAUACAGAAAUUUUCCAAAUUAAGUUUUGAGGCCUGGCUGACUUGGCCAUACGUAUUGCUGGAGACUGGUGCCACUUGUUCUAGGUCUACCGACCUUAUGACAGGAAACAGAAAUAAAUGCUAUCUAUAUUGUAACAUA